GGAGAGGUGCCAGAGCACGGUUGAAUGGGACGUCCUGCUAAGACGUUGACUCCCGAAACGGAGUCCGUGGGUUCGAAUCCCACCCUCUCCGCCA
rnacentral:tRNA from 5 species